UACGGAGGGUGCAAGCGUUAAUCGGAGUUACUGGGCGUAAAGGGUGUGUAGGUGGUUAUAUAAGUUAGAUGUGAAAUCCCCGGGCUCAACCUGGGAACUGCGUUUAAGACUGUAUAACUAGGGUACUGUAGAGGAUAGUGGAAUUUCCAGUGUAGCGGUGAAAUGUGUAGAUAUUGGAAGGAACACCAGUGGCGAAGGCGACUAUCUGGACAGAUACUGACACUGAGACACGAAAGCGUGGGGAGCAAACAGG
rnacentral:rRNA from 1 species